rnacentral:rRNA from 1 species
GGUUGAUCCUGCCAGUAGUCAUAUGCUUGUCUCAAAGAUUAAGCCAUGCACGUGUAAGUUUAAGCGAGAAAGCCCCGCCAGACUGCGGAUGGCUCAGCAGUCGGCUAUAACCACUUCGUCUUCUGUGCACACUUUUUGUUUGGAGUUCAUCCUCUUUUUAACUUACCUCUUUUAACUUUUUGGAUAACUCUGGCAAAUCUAGAGCUAAUACAUGCUUUCUCAAAAAAAAAAACUUUCACAUGCGUGAAGUUUAAUUACUUU